UACGUAGGGGGCGAGCGUUGUCCGGAUUUAUUGGGCGUAAAGGGCUCGUAGGCGGCCAACUAAGUCAGACGUGAAAUCCCCAGGCUCAACCUGGGAACUGCGUCUGAUACUGGAUGGCUUGAAUUCGGGAGAGGGAUGCAGAAUUCCAGGUGUAGCGGUGAAAUGCGUAGAUAUCUGGAGGAAUACCGGUGGCGAAGGCGGCAUCCUGGACCGAUAUUGACACUGAUGAGCGAAAGCCAGGGGAGCAAACGGG
rnacentral:rRNA from 1 species